rnacentral:ncRNA from 1 species
CUAUAACCAUCCUAAGGUAGCGAAAUUCCUUGUCGGGUAAGUUCCGACCUGCACGAAUGGCGUAACGACUUCCCCGCUGUCUCAACCACAUGCUCGGCGAAAUUGCAGUACGAGUAAAGAUGCUCGUUUCGCGCGGCAGGACGGAAAGACCCCGGGACCUUUACUAUAGCUUGGUAUUGAUGCAUUGCUUGGUUUGUGUAGGAUAGGCGGGAGCCUGGGAAGCUGCGACGCUAGUCGUGGUGGAGGUGUUGGUGAAAUACCGCUCUGAUCUGGUGGUGUGUCUCACCCGCGGCCCUGAUCGGGUCGGGGGACAGUGCCUGGUGGGUAGUUUAACUGGGGCGGUUGCCUCCUAAAUGGUAACGGAGGCGCCCAAUGGUACCCUCGGGCCGGUUGGAAACCGGUCGGUGAGUGUAAGCGUAGAAGGGUGCUUGACUGUGAGACCGACGGGUCGAGCAGGUGCGAAAGCAGGGGCUAGUGAUCCGGCACCGACGUACGGAUGUGGUGUCGCUCAACGGAUAAAAGGUACCCCGGGGAUAACAGGCUGAUCUUCCCCAAGAGUCCAUAUCGACGGGAUGGUUUGGCACCUCGAUGUCGGCUCGUCG